rnacentral:lncRNA from 1 species
GAUAAGUCUGUAUUUCAUUGCUUUUUGAGUAUGCAUUCAUCAUCUAUUCAGCAUCAUUCACUUGUUGAUUCGCAUCAUAUUGAUCCCUUUCUGCAUGUUUUACAUACUUAGGUAGGUUUUAUGCAUAUCAUGCAUAUCAUGCAUAUCUUGCAUACAUUGUGCAUAUUUGGAGUGUCUCAGGUACUUAGGAGACAUGCAGAGCGAAGCAGAGGAACAAGCGUUACUCGACAUGCACACGAUCGAGUGGGAGGAUCGAGUGAGAAGCAAGGAUGAAUUGCAGUUACAUCGACUAUCGAGUGAGCAGCAGACGUAUACGAUCGAGUAGCGGAUCGAGCAGAAGGGAAGCGAAGCAGAACCACCUGUCACUCGAUGCACUCACUCGAGUGACAUGAUCGAGCAAAGCAAAGAAGUAGCUGAUGGUUUUACAGGUCACUCGACACGAUCACUCGAAUGACACGAUCGAGCAAAGCAGAGAAGAUGGUCACUCGAGGUGCUCACUCGACCAACUUAGUCAAAACAACCUUUGAACCGCUUUUACGUUGUCGUUUUAUGUUUUAAGGUUUUCCCAAACAUUGUUAUAAAUAGGCUUCAUUUGGAUUGCCGAAGGGAGAGUUUGAUUUUUAUUAGGUUUUUGUUGUAGCCACAAAACGAUCCUGAGAAUUGUAAUUCAUAUUUCUUUUGAGUUAUUGAGAUUUUGCAACUAGUUCUGAAAUCAUUGUUGUUACUCUUCCUAUCAUCCUUAUUAUUAUGCAUGUUUUGAACGAUUCUUGUUUCAUGAUGUUUAACAUGAUUUCUGCGUCUGAGUAGUGUUAGGGUUCUUGAGGAUGGGAUAGAUUAGGUGGAGGAUGUUAGUUUGCUAGAGUGUUUAUGUUAGAUUCAUUUUGUUUCCCUUCUCGACUAGAGUUUUAUUAGCUAGUUUUUCUCUGAUCAAUUGGAAUUAGGUCACAGACAUUUCAUACCCGAAAGGUAUAUGAUGAAAUGUCUGAACCAACUAGUGCCAGAGAUUUACAUGCUUAGCCCAAGAGAUUGGUUGUCUAAGAUGUUUAUUGACAUUAAUGAGCUGUUUCUUUAUGCCUGUUUACUUCAUGUUUCAUCAAUGAGAAUUGAGAUUAGGAAGUGUUGUAAACUUGAUAGUUUCUGCCAAGAGAUUGGAUUGACUAGUAUUAGAAGUUCAUUGUCUAGGGAUUAGAAUGUUUGCAGUUUGAUAAACACUCGAAGUAGAUUAGCAUACUCCACCUACAUCAAUAACCUCAUCCUCGGGAUCUUCUAUCCAUUUGUGCUUUCUGUUUAAUUCUCUUGUUAUUUACUUGGUCUGCUUUGUUUUCUUGCCAGUAUCAAUAAUCAUUACGUUUUAGUUUACGCAUGGUAGUCUAUGUUUUACAGCUUUACAUUUAUUGCAUGUUUAACAUGUCCGCUUAGGAUCGCUGAAAACCAAAAGUCAUUUAUGCUUGCUUGACUUAAUCAUCUCUGAUAUAUCUUGAUUGCUAGCAUCACACCUGAUUGGAUUGAUACCUAUUGUACUGCAAUGACAUGAUAGUACUCUAGGGUAAUUGAUAGAAAAAUCCUAGUAUCAAUUUGGCGCCGCUGCCAUUUGGGUGUUUGUGUGUUACAUUUGAGAUUUCAGACUUGCUAAGAUCAAGUUUUUACUCAACAUUCACUACAGUUACUCACUCUGUUCCUUCUGUUUGUUUAUUAAUUCAGGUACAACUCUUGCUCAACUGCUCCUACUCGACUGACACACUCAACCGAUAAGAGGGAUAAGCUGAUUUGAGUUGUAUGCACACACGGUCGCAAGGCACAGAGAACUUGUUCCAGCCCUCCGACCGUAUUGAUCGCUUGGUACCUGCAUCACGACAGCAACGCAACAGAGUUACACCACCCCAAGUGGAGAUGGAAAACAUUCAACCACCACCCCACCCCCACCACGGGCACCUACACGGAUUGGAGCUGGUGAUGCUCCACGCAACCAUACCCAUCGUCAGGGUAUAGUGCCUCCAGCCGUGGCGAACAACAACUUUGAGAUCAAGAGUGGUCUGAUCUCCAUGGUCCAGCAGAAUAAAUUUCAUGGUCUGCCUAUGGAAGACCCCCUGGAUCACCUUGAUGAGUUUGAUCGUCUCUGUAGUCUCACCAAGAUCAAUGGGGUCAGUGAGGACGGUUUCAAGCUACGUCUCUUUCCAUUCUCUUUGGGUGACAAAGCUCAUCAAUGGGAGAAAACUCUUCCUCCAGGAUCUAUCACUUCCUGGGAUCAAUGCAAGCAGUCGUUUCUUGNNNNNNNNNNNNNNNNNNNNNNNNNNNNNNNNNNNNNNNNNNNNNNNNNNNNNNNNNNNNNNNNNNNNNNNNNNNNNNNNNNNNNNNNNNNNNNNNNNNNUCAAAAGUUAUCAGUCUCAGUGCCCCCAUCAUGGUUUCACCAAGGAGUCUCUCCUCAGUACUCUUUACCGGGGUGUUCUCCCAAAGAUCCGGAUGUUGCUUGACACUGCCAGCAAUGGCAACUUUCUGAACAAGGACGUUGACGAAGGUUGGGAGCUUGUUGAAAACCUAUCCCAAUCUGAUGGCAACUACAAUGAAGAUUAUGAUAGAACCAUCAGGGCGAGCACAGAUCUUGAUGAGAAUUACAAGAAGGAGAUGAAAGCUGUGAAUGAUAAGUUGGACAAGCUAUUGAUGAGCCAUCAGAGGAACAUCCAUUUCGUCUCUGAAGACGACCCUUUCCAGAUUCUGAAUGGGGAGGGAGAACAAUCUGAGGAGAUAAGCUAUGUCCAGAACCAAGGUGGAUACAACAAGGGAUACAAUCCUUAUAAGCAGAAUCCAAAUCUGUCCUAUCGGAGCACCAAUGUUGCAAACCCCCAGGAUCAGGUUUAUCCACCUCCACAACAGCAGCAGCAGGGGCAGAACAAACCAUUUGUGCCCUACAACCAAGGUUAUGUGCCCAAACAACAAUUUCAGCAAGGUUACCAACCUCCAGCAGGACCACCACCAGGAUUCCAACCUCAACAUGCUCCGCCUCCUCAGGCACCAGAUCAAGACAUGAAAAACAUGCUUCAGCAACUCCUACAGGGACAAGCAAGUGGCUCCAUGGACAAUGCUAAGAAGUUUGCUGAGCUGACUCAGAGAUUGGACUGCUCAUACAAUGAUCUGAACAUGAAGAUUGAGACUCUGAAUUCCAAGAUCAAGUAUAUAGAGGGUAAAACUGCUUCUACUUCUGCCCCAAAGCCGGGCCAACUCCCAGGAAAAGCUGUUCAGAAUCCUAAGGAGUUUGCUCAUGCCAUCACGCUGAGGAGCGGUAAAAACUUGCCUCCCAGACAAGGACCUGUUGUAGUCACUGGGGACAGUGAAGACUUGGAAGGGGAGGAUGUAUGUCAGAAUGAAGAUCCGGUUGUUCCUUUGGAAGAAUCAGAAGUCGUACCUGAAGAAGCUCCUCAACCUGCUGAGAAACAUGCUGAAACACCUGCAGCAUCCAAGGAUAAGUCUGCGAGAUACGUUCCCCCACCAUACAAACCACCUCUACCAUUUCCAGGACGAUUCAAAAAGCAGCAAGCUGAGAAGUAUAAGGCUUUAUUUGAAAAGCAAUUGAGAGAGAUUGAGUUGAGAAUGCCAUUGCUGGAUGCAUUCGCACUUGUCCCUCCUUAUCAGAAGUUCCUCAAAGAUUUGGUUAUGGAGAGAACAAAAGAAGUCCAGGGAAUGGUGAUAUUGAGUCAUGAAUGCAGUGCCAUUAUCCAGAAGAAGAUCACUCCCCUGAAGCUUAAGGAUCCUGGAUCCUUCACUCUACCCUGCUCACUAGGCCCCCUAUCUUUCAACUGAUGCCUAUGUGAUCUUGGAGCUUCUGUGAGUCUGAUGCCGUUGUCUGUGGCUAAGCGUUUAGGAUUCACAAGAUACAAGGCAUGCAACAUAUGUCUCAUUCUAGCUGACAGAUCAGUGAGGCUCCCGCAUGGACUCUUGGAAGACUUACCAAUAAGGAUUGGUGUUGUUGAGGUCCCUACAGAUUUUGUUGUUAUGAAGAGCCUAAGGAUCCCCUGAUUCUUGGAAGACCAUUCCUAGCCACUGCUGGAGCUAUCAUUGAUGUUAAGAAGGGGAAGAUAGACUUAUGCUUGGGAGAAGACUUCAAGAUGACAUUUGACAUUAAGGAGUCUAUGAAGAAACCAACAAUCAAUGGCAAGGUGUUCUGGAUAGAGGAGAUGGAUCAGCUAGCUGAUGAACUUUUAGAAGAACUUGCUGAGGAGGAUCAUCUCAAGACAGCGUUGACAAAGAGUGGAUCAGAUGGAUUUCUUCAUGCUGAGACAAAGGUCUACGAAACGUUACUGGAUACCUACAAGGCAACUGAUGAUUCAGAACGUUUUGAGGAAUUGGAUAAGUCUGUCAAGGAGGUAUGCACAGUAGAGGAGGAAGUCAGUGGCAGCCCGAUGACUCACCAUGCUGUUGACCCUGUCAAUGCGGCUGAUGAUGACUGGUCAGAGUUAAAAGCUCCCAAGGUUGAGCUCAAACCGCUACCCUCAGGACUGAGGUAUGUAUUCCUUGGAUCCAACUCUACUUAUCCUGUCAUUGUGAAUGCUAGCUUGAGUAAUGAGGAAUUAGAGUUGCUAGUCACUGAGCUUAGAAAAUAUAGAAGGGCCAUAGGUUAUUCCUUAGAUGAUAUCAAGGGGAUCUCACCUAGUCUCUGCAUGCAUAGGAUUAAUCUGGAAAAUGAAUCAUACUCUAGUAUUGAACCUCAAAGGAUAUUGAAUCCUAACCUUAAGGAAGUUGUGAAAAAAGAAAUUCUUAAACUGUUGAAUGCUGGGGUUAUCUAUCCUAUCUCUGAUAGUACUUGGUUAUCCCCAGUGCAUUGCGUACCUAAGAAAGGAGGGAUUACAGUGAUAAAAAAUGAAAAAGAUGAAUUGAUCCCCACUAGGACUAUCACUGGCCAUAGGAUGUGCAUUAAUUACAGAAAACUGAAUGCUGCAUCUAGGAAAGAUCAUUUCCCGCUUCCUUUCAUUGAUCAAAUGUUAGAACGAUUAGCCAAUCAUCCCUACUACUGUUUCCUUGAUGGGUAUAGCGGAUUUUUCCAAAUCCAUAUCCACCCAAAUGAUCAGGAAAAGACUACGUUCACUUGUCCAUAUGGCACAUUUGCCUACAGACGCAUGCCUUUUGGUUUGUGUAAUGCACCUGCAACAUUUCAGAGGUGUAUGACCUCUAUAUUCUCGGAUUUGAUAGAGGAGAUGGUGGAGGUGUUCAUGGAUGAUUUUUCCGUGUAUGGCUCCUCCUUCUCCUCAUGUUUGUUAAAUCUCUGCAGGGUAUUAGCAAGAUGUGAGGAGACAAGCCUGGUGCUCAACUGGGAGAAGUGUCACUUCAUGGUGAACGAAGGGAUAGUGUUGGGACACAAGGUAUCAGAGAAAGGGAUUGAGGUUGAUAAGGCAAAGAUUGAGGUCAUGGUGCAGUUGCAGCCUCCCAAGUCAGUCAAGGAUAUAAGGAGUUUCCUUGGGCACGCUGGGUUUUACAGAAGAUUCAUCAAGGACUUCUCAAAAAUUGCAAGACCCCUUACAAGACUGCUGUGCAAGGAGGUCGAGUUUGUUGUUGAUGAGAGCUGUCUGGAAGCUUUCAACAAGAUCAAGGAAGCGUUAGUCUCAGCACCAAUAGUCCAAGCUCCAGACUGGGAUCAUCCUUUUGAGAUAAUGUGUGAUGCCUCAGAUUAUGCAGUAGGGGCUGUGUUGGGACAGCGAAUAGAGAAGAAACUGCAUGUCAUCUACUAUGCGAGCAGAACCCUUGAUGAGACACUAGGGAGGUAUGCAACAACAGAGAAAAAGCUCUUGGCUGUAGUCUUUGCGUUUGAGAAAUUCAGAAGUUACUUGGUGGGAUCAAAAGUGGUAGUCUACACAGACCAUGCUGCGCUUAGACAUAUAUACUCCAAGAAGGAUACCAAACCAAGACUGCUGAGAUGGAUACUUCUACUCCAGGAGUUUGAUAUGGAGAUUGUUGACAAGAAGGGGAUAGAGAACGGCGUUGCUGAUCACCUGUCCAGAAUGAGAAUAGAAGAUCCAAUCCCUAUUGAUGACUUUAUGCCUGAAGAACAUCUCAUGGUUGUUGAGAUAUGCAAGAAGAUGCAUCAAACAGGAAUGGCUAUGAAGGAGCUUCAAUGUCUAGCAGUCAAUUCAGAGAGUAUGCCCUGGUAUGCGGAUGUGGUUAACUACAAAGUCUGUGGAGAGAUUCCUGCAGACAUGGAUCCUUAUAGGAAAAAGAAGUUUUUCAGAGAUGUCAACCACUACUUCUGGGAUGAACCUUACCUGUACAAGAGGGGUUCAGAUGGACUGUUUAGGAGAUGCAUAGCAGAAGGAGAAGUACAGGGAGUGCUUGAGCACUGUCAUGGAUCCGCAUAUGGAGGACACUUCGCUACAUUCAAAACAGUUCAGAAGGUUCUACAAGCAGGCCUUUGGUGGCCAACGUUGUUCAAGGAUACAAACAGUUUCAUCACCAAGUGUGACGCUUGCCAGAGGAUGGGUAACAUCAACAGAAGGAAUGAGAUGCCUCAGAACCCGAUUUUGGAAGUAGAAAUUUUUGAUGUUUGGGGAAUUGAUUUCAUGGGACCGUUCAACCCUCCAUCAAAUGGCAACGUCUACAUUCUGGUUGCAGUCGAUUAUGUUUCAAAAUGGGUUGAAGCCAUUUCAAGUCCCACCAAUGAUCACAAGGUUGUUCUGAAACUGUUCAAGAGCAUUAUCUUUCCCAGGUAUGGAGUACCUAGAGCAGUGAUCAGUGAUGGUGGUACACACUUCAUCAACAAAGUUUUUGAAAGCAUGUUGAAGAAGUAUGGUGUGAAGCAUAAGGUGUCUACGGCCUACCAUCCCCAGACAUGUGGACAAGUUGAGGUCUCCAACAAGCAGAUAAAAGGAAUCUUGUCAAGAGUUGUUGGGGUUUCGAAGAGAGAUUGGUCUACCAAGUUGGAUGACACUCUAUGGGCGUAUAGGACAGCUUUCAAGACACCAAUAGGAAGGACACCUUUUCAGCUGGUGUAUGGUAAAGCAUGUCAUCUCCCUGUGGAGAUUGAGUAUAAGGCGCUUUGGGCUAUCAAGCUUCUGAACUUGGACAUCGAUGCAGCCCAAGCAAAGAGAGUUCUUGACAUCCAUGAACUUGAGGAAAUCAGACUUGAUGCCUUCGAGAGUUCCAAAAUCUAUAAGGAGAGAACCAAGGCUUUUCAUGAUAAGAAGAUUGUCGUUAACGAGCUUAACGCUGGAGAUCACGUCUUGCUGUUCAAUUCCAGACUGAAACUGUUUCCUGGAAAGCUCAAGUCCAGAUGGUCUGGACCAUUUGAAAUCAAGGAUGUUUUGCCAUUCGGUGCGAUCACUCUCCUGAACAAGGAUGGCAGCGAGUUCACUGUGAACGGUCAACGUGUCAAGCGAUACCUAGCGGAUCAAGAGACACCAGAGGGGUCCUCCAUACCUCUCUACGAGCCUCCCAAAGCCUAAAGGGCAUAAACAGUCAAGCUUAGUGACUUUAAACAAGCUCACUUGGGAGGAAGUCCCAAAGGUAUCCCUGUACAUAUUGCUUAGGAUUUUUCUUGUGUUUUUAAUUUUUGUUUUUGGUUUUGUGUUGUUCAGGACAUCAAAGACAUGAGAGAACAUAUACAUUAUUAUCAGAACGUGAAAUGAACGAAGUGAGCGGGAGAUGCAGUGUCAAACAUAGUUCAGUGAGAUGGUGGGUAGAGAUGUUUAGGAUUUUUUGUGUUUUUGAUUUUUGUUUUUGGUUUUCUGUUGGUAAGGAUUUCAGAUAGAUGGAGUAAUGCAAAACAGAGUAAGAUGCGGAUGCAGAAUCGAGUAUGACAAAAUGAACAAAGUGAGUGGGAGAUGCAGUAUCAAAAAUAUUUCAGUGAAAAGUUAAAAAAAGUAAAAAAAUAAAAAAGAAAAAAAGAAAACCCUCUUUUCCUUACCCACUCGAUUUUUCCUAUCCUUUUCUCCCUAACCACACAAAAAAAUCCUAUCUUCUCUCUAUCUCUCUCACUCGAUAUCCUUCACCACUUCUCACAUCCUCUCACCAUCCACUCAACCUCGCAGCUACCACUCGACCCUCACUCGAGUCACGCCGUCGAAGCAUCCUCUUCACUCGGCCGGGUUCACUCGAGCACCGAGGCUCACGCGACCCUUUCUCACCAUCCGCUCAUCCUCACUCGACGCGCACACCACUCGACGGUAAAGCUCUCGCUCGACUCGUCGGAUUUCAGCUCACUCGACCGUCACUCACUCGACCGUAUUCACUCGAGGUUACCGUCAAUCUACUCGAGUAGCUACUAAAGCUCACUCGAGCUCCCACUCGAUCGACACGCUCCACACAUCGCUCGUGUCUAUUCACUCGAUUCCUUCUCUCAAUCGGCUAAGCUCCACCCCCAACCGACAAGUACUCGACCACUUUGUCUUCACUGGUGCUACUCGACCAGUCGUACUCGACCCUUACUCGACUCGCUUUCGCCUCCUCCGAUUCCACCAGCCAAGCGAGCUCCUCGCCACUCGACGUGCAUCACACACUCGACGAGUCAAGCUCCCAAGCUUCACUCGACCACUCUCACCGUCGCCUCACUCGAACUUCCCAUUGAUACUCUUCACACGCGUGUGUACCUCGACCGAGCACAAGGUCACUCGACCGAACCCAGCUGGAUACUCACUCGACCGAGAAGUGCAAAAGUGAUAAAUUUGCUAAGUGUUACUUCCCUUGGCAUUUCUCUAUAUACAUUGGCUAUUUUAUCUUGAUAUUUGGCACACUAACGAGCUAAUUUUUAGUUUUGAGUUCCAAUUGUUUCAGUUUCACAAUGUCAAGAGAUUUGUUGCAUGAAAUGCGUGAGAAGUAUGGUUGUAAACCAACAGAGCGUGCAUCUCCUCACUCUAUGUCCAAGGUCUACAUGGAGAAGAAGAAAGCUGCAUAUGAGAGAGCGUCUGGUGUUGGUCCUUCUCAAGCAAGAAGCAGAGCUAAGUCUUCGGGUAAAAAACCAAUGGAGCUGCGGGAUGAUGAUAGUGAUUAUGAGCUUGAAGAGCAUCCACCUGUCCCAGCUCGCAAGUCAGCGCAGAAGAAGAAGACAGAGAAGUGGUUAGCCCCGGGAGAGUAUUACAAGCUGUUUCAGCAGCAUGAGUUUCAGGGCACGAGGUAUCCUUGCCAGCAGACGAUGGAUGAGCUGGCUAUCUCGAGUGAUGUCGAGUAUAUGUUCGAGCAUUGUCAUCUCAGCACACUCAUGACUAGUCCGCGAAAUGCAUACCGAGAGGAGACAAUUCAGUUCCUCUGUACGCUUGCCAUACAUCUUUAUGAGGAUGAUCCGGACAUAGAGUCGGAUGGAGGAUUGGGAUACAUCACCUUCACCAUCCAUGAUCAUGAGUAUCUUCUGACCAUCAGAGAGCUGGAAGGUUUGUUUGGAUUCCCUAAUGGAACAGGGAUUGGGCAGAGGAUUGAUAGGGAUGAAUUGUUGGAUCUUUGGGAAACGAUUGGGAAUGAUAAGAAGUUCGCUUCAUCUAGGACCAAGAGCAACCACAUCAGAAGUCCAAUUAUCCGCUACUUCCAUCGAUCAGUUGCAAACGUGUUUUUCGCGAGGGAGACAACAGGGACACUGAUCAACGGGGAGCUGGAGAUGAUUGAUCUUGCACUUAAAGAUCUCUUGUUAACAGCAGUAGAUGGGACACUACUGCGAGGUGAUACGACUGAUACAUCUCCCUCGUUCACUCUGUUGCACCAGCUACUCAGUUACAGAACUUGGGUAGUGAAGCUGAGCAGCUGCAGAACUCAAGGAGUUAUGUGUAUGGGCGGGUUGGUGACAGUCAUCUUGGAAGCUUGUAGCGUCCCGCUGAGUUCAGAGCCUAUUGCACCGAGAUUCAUCGACAUUCAGAACUUGAGGCAAGCUCAAUGGUUGCAUUGGGAGAAACGCAACGGGUUGUAUAUGUAUUACUUCACUCACCCCGUACAUGGUGACGUGCGAUUUUUGCUUCCUUGUAUCGCUUUCACUAGGAUACUCGAAGGAAGCAACAUUGAGUUUACUCCCCCUGCAGAGGCUCUCUACACGACAGAUGGUGAGGAAGCGAUGGAGGUAUCUGAGAAAGAGGAUGNNNNNNNNNNNNNNNNNNNNNNNNNNNNNNNNNNNNNNNNNNNNNNNNNNNNNNNNNNNNNNNNNNNNNNNNNNNNNNNNNNNNNNNNNNNNNNNNNNNNNNNNNNNNNNNNNNNNNNNNNNNNNNNNNNNNNNNNNNNNNNNNNNNNNNNNNNNNNNNNNNNNNNNNNNNNNNNNNNNNNNNNNNNNNNNNNNNNNNNNNNNNNNNNNNNNNNNNNNNNNNNNNNNNNNNNNNNNNNNNNNNNNNNNNNNNNNNNNNNNNNNNNNNNNNNNNNNNNNNNNNNNNNNNNNNNNNNNNNNNNNNNNNNNNNNNNNNNNNNNNNNNNNNNNNNNNNNNNNNNNNNNNNNNNNNNNNNNNNNNNNNNNNNNNNNNNNNNNNNNNNNNNNNNNNNNNNNNNNNNNNNNNNNNNNNNNNNNNNNNNNNNNNNNNNNNNNNNNNNNNNNNNNNNAUCACACUUGUCAGAGGAGCAUCAUGUUGAGGAUCUGACCAUGGAUCAAGCCGAGGAUCACAUUGAGGACCUGACUGUUGAUCCAGGUGCGUAUCAUUUCCAAGACCUCACUGCGGAUCCUGUCGAGCAGAACGUUGAGCAACCAGCAGUGGCUCCUCCUGUCCCGCCUGCACCAGGUGCUUAUACAAGCGAGUCCAUGACUCAAUACCUGGAUUGCUAUUUUCAGUAAGGUACCACUCCAAACCUUCAUUUGUAUAUACCAUUGCAUUUUCAUACUUUUCUUUGUUUGAUUCUCAAACCAACUCUCAAAUUUUUAUUACACAAGAGACUGUGUAAUUUAAGUUUGGGGGAGGGUUUGGGAUGACAUUUGAUGUUGUGUUCUCUUUUCUUAUUUUGAAUUUUUAGCAUAUAAUUUGCAUUCAUAUAUGUGCAUUGAAAACCCCUAAAAAUUUGAAAAAUUUUCAGAAAAAAAUCUUUAAAAACAGAGUGAUCNNNNNNNNNNNNNNNNNNNNNNNNNNNNNNNNNNNNNNNNNNNNNNNNNNNNNNNNNNNNNNNNNNNNNNNNNNNNNNNNNNNNNNNNNNNNNNNNNNNNGUCUAGAUUGUUUCAUGUAGGACUGUUGCAUUAGCAUAGGGGGCGAUGAUGAGUUACACCUUGUUGAUUUGCUAGGAUUCACCAGUUGAGAUCAAUGCCCUGGUUGUUAGCUUUUUGAUGCAUGAUGAUUGAACUUGAAGUAAGUCUGAAACAAACUUGGAAUUCAUGAAGAGCAUUCUUGAACUUGGUUGAAACAUGUUGUGAUAUGAUCUCAUUCCUUAUCCUAUAAGAACUUAAUCUUGACUUGCAAAUAUCUGGUUGUGUUUUGCUUGCAUGCUCAUGGUCACCAUAUACAUAUUUGGAUCAUCUUCCUCCUUUCACCACUCUUGUUGAUCCAAGUAGCUGAUCUUUCUUUUGAUCAGUUUGCCACACCCACAGCCUAUCCUUUUCUUUCAAGCCAAUUGAUAAUUUUUGAGUGGUAGGUCUUUUACCGGAUUAUGCUUGGGGAGAACGUGUUAGGUAUGAGCUGACAGGAUUAAAAUCUUGAGUAGUUCUGAUUUUCAGUUUCAAAUCAGAUAGGAAUAGGUUGGGAUUCUUACUUGGGUUUGGGAUUGGGAUGAUUGUGGAAAGAAAGAAGAGAAACAGAAAAAGUUGUGUCCUUAGGAGGAGAAUGUUUUCUAGAAGUUUAUAAUCUAGUGAUUAUUUUUGCGGGGUUAGCAUGAUAUACGGAGAAUGGUUCUAGGAUGUUAAGAAAGUGAAAAAGUUUUGAUGUUUUAUAACGUAAGAAGAAAACAGAACCAUAGUUAAGAAGAAAUCCCCUAUCCACUAGUAUUGAUAAGAAACUUCUCCUAAGGCAAAAAGCAAAAAGAAAAAAAUGGGAUUGAUGUUGAAGGGUAGACAUAGGGAUCAUCCGGGUUUAGAUGAUUAGGAGUAAGCACUUGGGAACCAUUGGGUAGUCAAGGUUUUAUUCCUGUAUGCAUUUGUUGGUCCUUACCUUUAGCAUUCUCCCUAAAGCUCAAUCCAUUCAUUGAGAGAUCCUUGUCCUGAAAUUGUUUAAACCCUCAUGAUUCUCAAAACCUUUUUCUGCCUAGCCAAGUGAGUUUGUUAAGCCUUGCACAACCAGAUUCAUAUACUUGAGUAAUGAAUGUUAAAAGGAAUGAAUGAUUUGAAUGCAUGUGUAGAUCAAGGGAUAGAAUCAGUUUCGGAUUUGAUGAGUUUGUCUAAAAUCGUUAAGUAAAGUUCUCUCAGCAUGCAUCAAAGACUUAGCAACCAGGACAUUGAUUUUAACUGCUCUAUCUUGCAAGUUACAGGUUCUGAGACCCCAUUUUCAAACCUCUCUUCCACUUUGUUUCUUUUUGCUUUGCUUGAGGGCAAGCAAAGACUAAGUUUGGGGGAGUUGAUAAGUCUGUAUUUCAUUGCUUUUUGAGUAUGCAUUCAUCAUCUAUUCAGCAUCAUUCACUUGUUGAUUCGCAUCAUAUUGAUCCCUUUCUGCAUGUUUUACAUACUUAGGUAGGUUUUAUGCAUAUCAUGCAUAUCAUACAUAUCUUGCAUACAAUGUGCAUAUUUGGAGUGUCUCAGGUACUUAGGAGACAUGCAGAGCGAAGCAGAGGAACAAGCGUUACUCGACAUGCACACGAUCGAGUGGGAGGAUCGAGUGAGAAGCAAGGAUGAAUUGCAGUUACAUCGACUAUCGAGUGAGCAGCAGACGUAUACGAUCGAGUAGCGGAUCGAGCAGAAGGGAAGCGAAGCAGAACCUAUUAAGAGGGUUAUGUUCUAUUAUGUAAUUAGCAUAUACUUAUGUAUAUUUGGGUAUAUCGAUUAGAAUAGAUCGAGUAUACGUAGGUCAAGAAGAGAAAUCAAACAAAAAGAAAGGAUCACAAGAGGAUCGUAUGACCUAAAAUCUUCGGUUUCGCAUCCGAUUGAACAAAACCAUAAGUUGGCUUAUGCGGUUGGUGAUCUCUUACCGGAUCCGUCUCGUUAUCGUCGGUUGGUUGGAAGGUUGAUUUAUCUUGCGGUGACACGUCCUGAACUGUCUUAUGCUAUCCACAUCUUAUCUCAGUUUAUGCAUGCUCCUCGCUCGGAACAUUGGGAUGCUGCCAUACGCACAGUUUGUUAUCUUAAGGGUCGUCCGGGACAAGGGAUUUUUUUAAGUUCUCGGUCAGACUUACGGUUGACAGCGUGGUGUGAUUCAGAUUAUGCGACCUGUCCUCUUACUAGUCGUUCACUCACAGCUUGGUUUAUACAAUUGGGUGGUUCGCCUAUUUCGUGGAAAACACGGAAGCAAGACACGGUUUCUCGGUCCUCGGCGGAAGCCGAAUAUAGAGCUAUGGCUGAUACUGUGAGUGAAUUGCUGUGGUUGCGUGAGCUUCUUACUACACUUGGCGUGGAUUGCUCUUAUCCUAUACCUCUUCAUUGUGACAAUCAAUCCGCUAUACAUCUUUCUCGUAAUCCGGUGUUUCAUGAGCGCACCAAACAUGUCAAGAAAGAUGUUCAUUUCAUUCGUGAUGAGAUUGUUCGCGGUGUCAUUGAUCCGCAAUAUGUAUCCACCAAGUUACAGCUUGCGGAUAUACUCACCAAAGCUCUCGGACGCAAGGAGUUUGAUAUGUUUUUGCUCAAGUUGGGUAUUUGUGAUCUUCAUACUCCAACUUGAGGGGGGGUAUUAAGAGGGUUAUGUUCUAUUAUGUAAUUAGCAUAUACUUAUGUAUAUUUGGGUAAUUACAUUUAAAUACUUUAGGUUUUAUCUCAUGUAAGUAUAUAAAGGCAUUGGCCUCCGAUGUUCAAUAAUAAGAAAAACCUUUAUACACACUUAGGUUUUGACAGAACCACCUGUCACUCGAUGCACUCACUCGAGUGACAUGAUCGAGCAAAGCAAAGAAGUAGCUGAUGGUCUUACAGGUCACUCGACACGAUCACUCGAGUGACACGAUCGAGCAAAGCAGAGAAGAUGGUCACUCGAGGUGCUCACUCGACCAACUUAGUCAAAACAACCUUUGAACCGCUUUUACGUUGUCGUUUUAUGUUUUAAGGUUUUCCCAAACAUUGUUAUAAAUAGGCUUCAUUUGGAUUGCCGAAGGGA